rnacentral:rRNA from 1 species
CCUACUCCUACGGGAGGCAGCAGUGGGGAAUAUUGCACAAUGGGCGCAAGCCUGAUGCAGCGACGCCGCGUGAGGGAUGACGGCCUUCGGGUUGUAAACCUCUUUCAGUAGGGAAGAAGCGAAAGUGACGGUACCUGCAGAAGAAGCGCCGGCUAACUACGUGCCAGCAGCCGCGGUAAUACGUAGGGCGCAAGCGUUAUCCGGAUUUAUUGGGCGUAAAGAGCUCGUAGGCGGUUUGUCGCGUCUGCCGUGAAAGUCCGAGGCUCAACCUCGGAUCUGCGGUGGGUACGGGCAGACUAGAGUGAUGUAGGGGAGACUGGAAUUCCUGGUGUAGCGGUGAAAUGCGCAGAUAUCAGGAGGAACACCGAUGGCGAAGGCAGGUCUCUGGGCAUUUACUGACGCUGAGGAGCGAAAGCAUGGGGAGCGAACAGGAUUAGAUACCCUGGUAGUCCAUGCCGUAAACGUUGGGCACUAGGUGUGGGGGACAUUCCACGUUUUCCGCGCCGUAGCUAACGCAUUAAGUGCCCCGCCUGGGGAGUACGGCCGCAAGGCUAAAACUCAAAGGAAUUGACGGGGGCCCGCACAAGCGGCGGAGCAUGCGGAUUAAUUCGAUGCAACGCGAAGAACCUUACCAAGGCUUGACAUGUGCCAGACCGCCUCAGAGAUGGGUUGCC